UACAGAGGGGGGCAAGCGUUAUUCGGAAUUAUUGGGCGUAAAGGGCGCGUAGGCGGCCUGGCAAGUGGAAGGUGAAAUCCCUCGGCUUAACCGAGGAACUGCCCUCCAAACUGCUUGGCUUGAGUCCGGGAGAGGUGAGUGGAAUUCCCAGUGUAGCGGUGAAAUGCGUAGAUAUUGGGAGGAACACCAGUGGCGAAGGCGGCUCACUGGACCGGAACGUGACGCUGAGGCGCGAAAGCGUGGGGAGCAAACGGG
rnacentral:rRNA from 1 species